GGGGGGCAGGAGCGAGCAGGUCGAGGUGAGCAACAUCGACAGCAGCAAAGGUCGCCCUCGGCGGGAGAGAGGCCAGACAGAGAGACUCUCCAACCCCACCCCACCCUCCAGCCCCUGACAAAACCGAUCUCAUGAGACAGCUCGUUCUCGUACAUUCGAGCCCUCUCUCCACCGAUUUAGAUGCGAAACGUCUGGAUUAUUAUUAUUAUUUCUUUAAAGGGGCCUUGAGGCCCACCGAAGCCCACCUUUGGGAACGGAAGUCAAGGGAAAAGAUGGGUGCCCGUUUCGAAGCCCGGGAGGCGCUGUUUGUCUUUGGACGGAGCACCAAGCAGCAAACCACGCGGCCAUAAAGAAGGGCAGCCCCACGUGCAUAACAAUAAGACAACCGUGGAAAAGCGACCUAGCCUGUCUUCUUCUCUGCCGCCGCCCCUUAGUCCACAGCUGGUUGGAAAAGGAGAGGGGACUGGAAAAGGGCAGGGUUGCUUGUUUUUUCAUCCCAGGCGACCCCCUCCGCUGCCUUUGCCCCCCGGGCGGAAGCCGGCUAAGGGAGAAUUGAAGUCAUCUACAGAAAAUAAAGAGAAACAUGAGAGCAAGGGAGUCAUGAUGCCUAUUUCUCAGAGAAAGAAAAGGCACUCUGAAGAAUCCACGAGUCAGGACAGAAGACAGAGGAGAAGAGAGGGCGGUGAGCAGGCUCCUUCUGAAGAUACUAACUCAGAUGAGGGUGAUCUUCCUGUUGUGUCAAAGAGCAAGAGAAAGGUGAGAAGACCAAAGGAAGGGAAGGGAAGAGACGUUGAAGAAGGAAUAGAGGAGAGAGAUUCCAGGAUCAGAGAAAGUCAUUCCCAUAGAAGACACAGGGAAAAGUUUGUGUACAAAGAAGAGAAGAGCAAAAGAAGGGGCACAAGGCAAGAGGAUCGGAAUUCAAGACAACACGAUAUUGAUGCCAAAAGGUGUAAACUAAAGGGCAUUGAAGACAAUGAGAAGCAUGCUCUCAAAAGGAAAUAUCAGAGGCAACCAAGCAAAAGCAAACAUGUCCCCAAUAUAGAUUCUCUAAGAGCAGAAUGUGAGGAAGGCUCUUUUUGGGAGCCAGAGUCAUGCCAGGUGGAAAGUCAUGAUGAAAGCAGGGAACAGUAUCAAAGGAAGCCUCAUUGUGCGGGUAAUGGCAAAGCUACCAACAGGAAAAAGGGAGGACACGAAAAGACUCCUGCUAAGAAAUCGGGUAGGGUAUUUUUGAAAGCAAGUCCUGUGAAUUCAGAAGAUUCCUCUUGCUCAGACUCCCAUUGGAAACAAAGAAGAAGGGAUAAGGAGAGUGGAAAGAAGAAGAAAACCAGCAAGGAGAGAAGGAGCUCUUUAGAAGACAGUGAAGAAGAUCUCUGUGCUAAGGUAUCGUUGCCAACUAUUAGGGGAACUCAGUGCUCAGAUGAGAGAAGAGGCUUCCGGGAGCUUCAGGAGACAACCAGUGGGAGUGAAGAAAAGCUAGAGGUUGAAGUUGAAAAACAAGAAUCUCAGGAUGAGGAGCAUGACUCUGAUGAAGAAAGAAGAGGGAAGAGUAAAAGAGCUUUGCCAAUAAAAGUUAUGCCAAUGGAUAGGGAUGGUGAUAAUGAAAGCUGUUCUGAGAACCACAGUAGAGAUGCAACACAAGAGAGAGGAGGAGAGGAAGAAGAAGAUGAUGAUGGAGAAAAUGAAAAUCCAUCAGAAAAAGAAAGCAGCAGGGAAGACUUAAAUGGAGAGCAGAGUAGGUCUGGGAGUGAAACGGAGGAGAAUAAGAUAAGUAGAUUUAGAAAAAGAAGUAGCGAGACAGCAAGACCACUCCCCAGGACUAUAAGCCAGGUGAAGGAAAGCAAGAGUGUUGAUGGAAUGGCCUGCGUUGAAGCCACAUCCUCACCACAGAUGAUGAAGCAUAGAAGUCAACCUUCUGACCUGGCUGAUCUAUCCAAAGAAACAGCAGGUUGGGAAACGCAGACAAGCCAAGAUGCAAGAGCAAAGUUGAACAGUGUGGUUUUGCUUGCCAAGAGACACAAUCAUCUGACUUCACAAUCCCAAAUCCUACUGAAUCUGAAAAGCAAGCACAAAGAUGCUAAAUCAAGACUGUUGGUCAGAGAGGAGCGCUGUGCUUCUCACCAAACAGCAGAAAUUGUCCCUCUUUUGGAGAAAACUCAAAGUGUCUGUGCAAAAAAGGUUACCACAACAAACAACAAAGUGGUUGCUAAGACUAAGGAGUGUAAACAAUCAAGAUUAUCAACCACUUUGAGCUCACAUUCUAAACCUAAAAAACUUUCUGUUCAGAAGAAAAAGAAAGUUGAAAAAGUAACAGGAAAGAUCAAAAUGUCAUCAGAUAGUACUGGAGAGUCAACAGAAGAGGAGGAAGCUGUAGAGGAGGACCAAACUGGAAAAAAGGUCACUGAAAAAGAUUUAACAUCCAAGCAAGCAAGAACCAAGUCUCUACAAACCCUUUCAGCAUUUAGGAGGGUAACCCAUUGGCUUAGCCAUAAGCCUCUCAAGAAAGCCAGUUUGAAAGAUCGUUUCUUAAGUAUAGUACGUGCAGUUGGUAUCUCAGGAUGGCUCCUAAGAAGGUUUCGUAAGAGGAAAAGCAGCAAUAAGCCAUUUGGAUUCCGAAGAAGUGUGGCCGUUCGAAUUUUUAGCACAGUUGGGUUGGCCAGGAGAUGUAGGAGGGCUUCCUACAACCCAACAGGAGAACAAAUGAAAAAGGAUAUCUCUCACAAAAUAUCUUCUUGUUCCUUGUUAGAACAUGAUCAAACUGGUGAAAAAGAUACAAUCAUGGGGGAAGAACUUGAAGAAGAAACACAAUCUUCAAAUAUUUUUUCUUGUAAUGAAGUCAACUUACAACCUCUGUCAAUAAAUCCCAAUGGAAAGUCAGAGGAAGAGAAAAACAGUUUUACUGAUGCAAAGUAUGCCAUUGUAUUUCCGAGAGUCCAUCAACUAGUAAAGUCAAAAACCCCUUCUGUUGGCAGCUCUGGUGAUAGCCAAUCACAGUUGCGGUCAGGUGGUCCACCAAGAAGGAAAACAGUGAUGCCCAUGCAAUAUAAUGUAUCAAAAGCUAAUGAGAAAAGGAACAGUCAAGGGUUUCCUUGCAGUCUUCAGACUGAACCACCCAGACCAGAAGGGAAGGUGCCAUGGGUCCCUCCACCUUCCUGCUUGGAGGAGGAAGAUGUGGCGGACUUCAUUCAGACAGCCACCGCACCGGAAACAAUGAAUCGUGUGCACUGGACUCAGCACCUGCCUCUUACCUGUGACCCUGCAGCAUGGCUGAAUUCUGAAACGCUCCUCCCACGGCUCACCAUUGAGAACUUGAGCAAGUGGGCUUUCUACAAAGACCAGGAUCUUGCUAAGUCUCCUAGGUCAAAAAAAGCAUUGCAAGGAAGAUGGGAGGCAGAAGAUGCUAGUGAAGAUAUCCUUGAGAAGGACAUGGCACACAAACAGGUGAGUCACAUUGGAAGUUCUCUUAAGUCAGAUGCUUGGUCCCUUAGUUCAGUCUUUUCUGCAACAUGGGUGGCUCUCCAGAGCUUUUUUUCAUGA
ensembl:lncRNA